GUUAUGAUGUCACUCAGGAGCCUGUAAUGGCUUCCUAAUGCCUAUAGGGUAAAGGUAAAACACCUUAGCAGAGCAUCAAAGAUCCCUCAGAGUCUGGUACCAACUGCUUUUCUAGCCUUUUCUCUCACAAUCUCAUCCCAAACCUUCACUCCAGCUAGAACGUUUGUAUCAUACUGGCCACCAGUUAUCAUGUAUGUGAAACCCACCAACCGACUUUGAGUGCCCCCCUAAAAUUUCUCAGUCUCUCCUGAAGUAGGAAACCUCUUCCCCCUCCUCAGAUCUCAGACUCCAGAGCCCUUUCCCAAGGCCAAGACUGCACCUCUCUGACCAUAUACAGGGGUUCUUCAAAGCAGCAGACAGAGGCUCAGGCUCUGGCUCCCUCCAAGCAGACGGCUGCCCCCGACUGGCCACCUUGGGAAGCACAGCCAGGCUUCAGUCGUCUAGAACAGAGAAUGAGCAUCUAACCGCCUGGGGAGAGGACUAGGACACCAGAUGAUAAGGUUUAUAAGCCCUUAAGCCUCUAAGGUUCUUACACCCAGAGUAGGGGGGGGACGGUUCUCAGCCCUGUUUCCCUAGCUGCGGGCUCCCAAUUUUCGAUCCCUAAUCCGAGAGGAACUCCUCUCCAAUGAAAUACAGACUUGGGACUCUCAGGACACUGUGGAAGGGAAAUUUCCCAACAGACUCUGAGAGUCCAGGAGGCCAGGGAUAGACCAGGUGGCAGGCCCAAGGUCCAGCUGGGGUCAGGUUUCUAUAUGAAUUUUUAAUGCUUCCAGAUAGACUUGUCAGAUGUUCUGAAAACUGAGCAUCUCCUUUCACCUCUGUACAUGAUGCCCUUCUCCAACCCCAUUGCCCCUGCAGGAGGGCAGGCCUGGGACAGAUAUUCAGUGGCCUCUGGAGAAACGGUUUUGGGACAGUAGAAGGGUAAAUGACCUAGUUAUGUUCCCACUAGUAAGCUGUGUGACCUUGGGCAAGUUACUUAACCUCUCUGAACAUUAGAGUUCUGUGGGUUUGUUUUUGUUUUGUAAGCUGGGGACAAUAGUGCCAGCCUAAAUCAAUUUGUUGUGGGGACUCAGUGCAAUAGCCCAUGGCAAAGUGACCUACAUGCUUGCUGUUAUUAUUCUCUUUCCUCAAGUUCUGCCUCCCUCUUCCAGCUUUUCUUCCAACCCCAAAGAUGUCUCUGGCUAUUGCUUCGAAGAAGCAGAGAGGACUGCACUUGGUGAAAGUUUCAAUUCUCCUGUGUGGAGAGGAGGCCGGAAUUUCUGCCUCCAUCUCCCACCGGGGUCCGGCUGGCCAGAGGCAAGCUUCGAGACCCCCCACCAACCACCACCACCGUUGCGAGGGCCGGUGAGGCUGCAGAUAACGCUUGCAAGGACGGGAGUCGGGGAGGGUGUAGGGCGAGUUUAAAGGACGGGCAGAGCAAGCCCCGGGAAGAGGCAGGGGUUUUCCCUCCCGGGUCGCCGCCCCCCGCACCCUCGGAGCCAGCCGCAGCCACGCAGCGCCGCCUGCCGGGCACACCAAGGACCUGGCGCGCACGUGGCGCUUACCCCCACCCCCGGGUCCGCUCCUGGCUCGCGCUCAGCCUCCCCAGACUAUUCGCAAAUUGAGGAUCCCGGACACAGAGUGCAGAGACCCCGGCAAGCCUACUGAAAGCCAGCCGAACCCGCUGAGCCAACCUUUGGAGGUGGGGGAGAUGGCCAAGGCCUCUGAGGUCACUCUUGGCCCCAGGAGCAGCUGAGAACCGGAAAGAAGCUUGGGACCUCCUUUCUGCAGAGCUAUCCUUUCCACAGACUGCCGAGGUUCCAAAUUGAGCUCCACCACCUAACACUGUGUGCCCUUGGGUGUGUGCCUUAACCUCUCUGGGCUUGUUUCCUACAGCGACAAGAAAGAAUGACAACACCAACCUCUUAGGCUAUAGUUUGGAUAAAAUGAGAUAGCUGUGUAGAACAGACAGAUCCUAAACCAAUGUUAGUUUUCCCUUCAUUUGGGGACUUGCUCUAACCUCCAGGGCUUAUGUCCCAGAGGCACAAGCAGGUGCAGGGCUGGAUAAAUAAGGUAUGUCUUUCUGCAGGAUCUCUUGUCCUCACUGAUGGUGUCUUCUCUUGAUAUAGAUAAUUUUAAAGCUUCACGUUAUUUAUUUAUUUACUUUAAAGCCUCACUUUAAUGUUAAAGGUAAAUGUAAAUAUAGUAUAACAAGGAAGCUCAAAAUUUGCAUAAAGUUUUAAGAUAAAAUAGGAGACUCCAAAAAAGUGUUACUUUCGGCAGGCCCUAGGGAUGCUAUGGUGGGAAGUUUGAGUCAUACCUUAGCAUUCUUUCUAAAGCAUUCUGUCCUAAUCCUCUGUAUGGAGAAAAGCCAGCUUCCUGGAUGUACCCCAAAUCCUGGGAAGUAGGGGGCAGGAGCUGGACUCCCUCCAAGCACUAAGGGCAGGGCAUGGUUGGGAACAGGGAGGUGAGCCAGACAGCCAGAGGCGAACGGGCUGGCAUGCCAAGCGUCCUAGUUAAUGCCCAGCUGAGCCUGGGUGAAGAAGGAUGGGGGUGUGGGAAGACACCCCCCACCAACCGCCAAAGACAGGCGCACACCAGCCAGUCUCUCACUUCCCUUUUUAUUUCCUCUAAGACUUGCAAGCAGCAGCA
rnacentral:lncRNA from 10 species